GUUCAUACCCUGUUGGAUUAGAAAGUGUUAAACUUAAGAGUUCUGAUAAAGAUUUCCACUAUUCUGUUUGGAAUUUUGUGUAUCCUUCAGCACCCGGUGGGAUUGAUAAUCCUAUGAUUAAUCCUGUGGGUAUAGGGGCACCUAGUUUGGAUGGACUUGGUUGUGACAGGAUUAUUAUUUGUGUUGCUGGGAAAGAUGGAAUUAGGGAGAGAGGGGUUUGGUAUUAUGAGCUUGUGAAGAAGAGUGGUUGGAAAGGGAAAUUGGAAUUGUUUGAAGAAGAAGAUGAAGAUCAUGUUUAUCAUAUCUUUCAUCCUGAAUCUGAGAGUGGUCAAAAAUUGAUCAAGCAUUUGGCUUCCUUUCUUCAUGAGUAAGGAAAUGUUUUUCCUUUAUGUGUUUGUGUUGUACUGUUUUAGAUUGCAAUAGUAGCAAUCAUCAUGAGAUGUUUUUGUGUUACUAAUUACUAUUACUAAUAAUAAUUAUUUCUUGUGAUCAUGUACUUGUGAGUUAAUUAGUAAGUGUAUUGUGUAAUUAUAAAGUUCAUUAUGGGUUAAUCGUCGUAUUCCAUGUUAUAUUUUGCACACCACAAAUUCUUCAAAAAAGUUUGUAUAAAAUAUCUUCAUGCUAACCGAUGCUCGUGACACAAUUGCUUAAGAAAAGAAAAAAAAAUUGAAUUUGAAAAGAGCAAUAUCUUUUUUACACUUUAAUGGUUGUUACACAAGUUCCGAAAUUGUUUUGGUAUAUUUGGUAGGGGCAACCGAUAAGCUAUAAGCUAUAAGCUAUAACCUCAAAUGUGAAUAGCGUCUGAAAAAUAAAUUAUAAGUUCGUGGUGAAAAGAGCGUUACCAAACAAGAUUUUUUUGUCAAAUGAACUUAUGAACUAUCUACUAUAAACUAUAAGCUAGCUUUUUAACCUUGAGAAAGAGAGCCAUUGCAUCAAUUGAUAUGCAUAACUCACUUUUGGUAGAUCAACCUUUUUGCCUUAAGCUAAGGCCUUUUGGGACAAUGUUUUUCUCUCUCCAAUACAAGAAAGUUUCUUAUCUUGAAAUCUUCAACCUUUCUGCCUUAUAUAAUACAAGAAAGUUGGUUAUCAUUUUUGCUGUAAGAGCUAUAAUGUAAUUUUGAUUUUUCUCAGUAUUCAAUUUACAUUUGCAUGAUUACAAAAUUAUGGUAAAACACCAAAUUACAUUGGUUCUAGUGGAAUUGAUUUUAAAUCCCUUAAAUAAUUUACUCACUCCAUCCUAAAUUGUAAGGAAAAAAAUCAAAUAACAUUUGUUAAGAAAACUAAAAUAUAAGAAAUUGGAGUAUAAUUUUGUGUUUUUUUAGGAAUAAGUUUCAUAGGAAGAUGUAAAAUAAUUUUCAUUGGCUAUUGAUUAUGUAGAAAAUGAAAAAAAAUAGAAAACUGAAUGUAAUUUGCAUUUAAUUUCAUGAGAAUAAGCAAAAAAAAUUCUUGAAAAAAAAUGAUUAAAAAGAAAAGAUUAAAUAGAAUAAAAGUUUAUCUUUUGCUUAUAUUUUGCGACAAAAAAGUAAGUUUUUUUUUUUUUUAUUAUUUUUUUUUUAUAAAUAUUUUGGGACAGAGGAAAUAUUCAGUUUGAGGUUUGUGGAAGGAUGACAAAAACAUCCAUAAAUGUCUCCAAAUCUGGAUUAUCCGUUUGGCAGAUAUAAAAUGAACACAUGUAUCAUACUUAGCGCAAUCAUUGAUGCCUAUUUACAUUCAUAAAGAGGAGUAUUUGUUUGUUAGCUGUAAAUAUUGUGUUUCAUGUAGCACUUGAGUGAUAUAGAGUUAGGUGAUAUUGACCAAUCACAAUGUCAUAAUGUUUGUGUUUCUCUCUCUUUCACAAACAUUGUGACAUUGUGAUUGACCAAUGUCACCUAACUCUAUGUCACACAAUGAACUUUAUGAUGAAUAUAACGUUUUAAAAUCAUAACAUUAUUGAAUCCAAUGAAUUAAGAUCAUCUCCAUAUAUACUAAUAGAUAUAUUUCCAUUUAUUGCAGGAAAUGAAUAAUGUUUGUGUUUCUCUCUUUCACAAACAUUGUGACAGACCAAUAUCACCAAUGUCACCUAACUCUAUAUCAUACAAUGGACUUUGUGAUGAAUAUAAUAACCUUUUAAAAUCAUAACAUUAUUGAAUCCAAUGAAUUAAGAUCAUCUCCAUAUAUACUAAUGGAUAUAUUUUCAUUUAUUGCAGGAAAUGAAUAGAAUUUUAACUCAAAUCCAAUGUAAACAUACCACUCUAAGAGUACUAACACAUUAUCCUCUCCAUAUAUAAUAAUGGAAUUUUCUCUCUAGUAUCUCUGAAUCAAUGGCAACCACCGAUGUACCAAAACACAUUAUCUCUGAAAUUCCUACCUAUAUCACAGUCUACAGCGACGGCACAGUCGACCGUCCACGGCAACCACCGACGGUACCACCCAAUCCCAACCACCCAAACUCACCAUCCAAAGACAUCAUCAUCUCUCAAAACCCCAAUAUCUCCGCUCGUAUCUACCUCCCCAAAAACCCCACCACAAAACUCCCCAUCUUAGUCUUCUUCCAUGGCGGUGGUUUCUUCUUCGAGUCCGCUUUCUCCAAAGUGCACCACGAACACUUCAACAUCUUCAUUCCACUAGCAAAUUCAAUAGUUGUUUCUGUUGAAUACAGACUCGCUCCAGAACACCCUCUACCUGCUUGUUAUAAUGACUGUUGGAAUUCACUCCAAUGGGUUGCUUCUAAUUCUGCGAAAAACCCAGUUAACCCGGAACCGUGGUUAAUUAACCAUGGUGAUUUCAACAGAGUUUUCAUUGGUGGUGCUAGUGCUGGUGGUAACAUAGUUCAUAACAUCGCUAUGCGUGCUGGCUCUGAAGCUUUACCCAAUGAUGUUAAAUUAUUAGGAGCUAUUUUACAACACCCUUUAUUCUAUAGUUCAUACCCUGUUGGAUUGGAAAAUGUUAAACUUAAAGAUUUCUACUCUUACCUUUGGAAUUUUGUGUAUCCAUCAGCACCUGGUGGAAUUGAUAAUCCUAUGGUUAAUCCUGUGGGCAUAGGGGCACCUAGUUUGGAUGGACUUGGUUGUGAUAGGAUGAUUGUUUGUGUUGCUGGGAAAGAUAAACUUAGGGAGAGAGGGGUUUGGUAUUAUGAGCUUAUAAAGAAGAGUGGUUGGAAAGGGAAAUUGGAGUUGUUCGAAGAAGAAGAUGAAGAUCAUGUUUAUCAUAUAUUUCAUCCUGAAUCUGAGAGUGGUCAGAAAUUGAUCAAGCAUUUGGCUUCCUUUCUUCAUGAGUAAGGAAAUGUUUUUCCUUUAUGUGUUUGUGUUGUACUGUUUUAGAUUGCAAUAGUAGCAAUCAUCAUGAGAUGUUGUGUUUGUGUUACUAAUUACUAUUACUAAUAAUAAUGAUUUCUUGUGAUCAUGUACUUGUGAGUUAAUUAGUAAGUGUAUUGUGUAAUUAUAAAGUUUAUUACCUACUCGUUUUCUUUUCACAGAUGAUUAUUAUGGGUUAAUCAUAUUCCAUGUUAUAUUUUGCAGACCACAAAUUCUUUUGAACUGUGUCUAUAAAAUAGGGUCAUGCUAACCGGUGCUCCUUACACAAUUGUUUAGGAAACAAAAAAAAUAAAUUUUGAAUUUGAAAAGAGCAUUUUUUUACACUUUACGUGGUUGUUACACAAGUUCCAAUAUAGUUUUAGACUUUUAGUAUAUUUGGUUCCUUAACAAGUACCCUAAGGGCACUUGUUAGUCCAUAAAAUAGACAUAGUAUUGUAUCGAUUGAUAUGCACAACUCACUUUUGGUACAUCAACCUUUUUGUUUUAAGCAUAAGGCCUUUUGGGACAAUGUUUUUCUCUCUCCAAUACAAGAAAGUUUCUUAUCUUGAAAUCUUCAAUCUUUCUGCCUUACAUAAUACAAGAAAGAUGGUUGUCAUUUUUGCUGUAAGCGCUAUAAGCAGAAUCACAUUCAAUAGUAGUUAGAAAGUGGAUAUGAUUGAAACAAUCCCUACAAUCAUGAUGGAUCUUAAUUGUUGCAGUAGACCUAUAAGAAAAUGGGCAAUGUUAUCAGUAUAUAUAACAUUGAGCUUUUUGAUUUCAUUGAUUAUUACUGUGUCAAUCUUCAGGGAUGAACAAUGAUAAGUAUCACCAGAACACAACCAUGUAAGAGUGAUCUGUCAUGAUUGGGUUCUGUCCUCAGUUGUUCAAAUAAUGUGCAGGAGCUUUGGUCAUUUUGUUUUGGUUUUGAAUUGUUUUAUGAAAUUAUUACAAAGUAGAGGUUUAUGUCUUUUUGCAAUAAGUACAAGGCAUGUGGGACAAUAUCUUUUAUUCUCAAUUAUGCAGGU
rnacentral:lncRNA from 1 species